UUUCCGUAGGUGAACCUGCGGAAGGAUCAUUCAUAAUAAGUGUUUUAUGGCACUUUUUUAAAUCCAUAUCCACCUUGUGUGCAAUGUCAGGGUUGAUUUUUCUCUCGAGAGGAUCAACCCCAAACACCAACUAUAUCUCAACUCUUUGUCUGAAAAAUAUUAUGAAUAAAACAAUUCAAAAUACAACUUUCGACAACGGAUCUCUUGGCUCUC
rnacentral:misc_RNA from 1 species